rnacentral:rRNA from 1 species
GAUUCUGGCUCAGGAUGAACGCUGGCGGCGUGCCUAACACAUUCAAGUCGAACGAACUGUAGAAAUACAGUGAGUGGCGGACGGGUGAGUAACGCGUAAGCAAUCUGCCUUUGUGUGUGGAAUAACAACCGGAAACAGUUGCUAAUACCGCAUAACGCAGAGAGAUCGCAUGGUCUUUCUGCCAAAGAUUUAUCGCACGAAGAUGAGCUUGCGUCCGAUUAGAUAGUUGGCGGGGUAACGGCCCACCAAGUCAACGAUCGGUAGCCGGACUGAGGGGUUGAACGGCCACAUUGGAACUGAGAUACGGUCCAGACUCCUACGGGAGGCAGCAGGUGGGGAAUAUUGGGCAAUGGACGAAAGUCUGAACCCCAGCGACGCCGCGUGAGGGAAGAAGGUCUUCGGAUUGUAAACCUUAGUCAACAGGGACGAAGCAAGUGACGGUACCUGUGGAGGAAGCCACGGCUAACUACGUGCCAGCCGCAGC